GGAGGAAAAGAAACCAACAGGGAUUGCCUCAGUAACGGCGAGUGAAGCGGCAAAAGCUCAAAUUUUAAAGCUGGCACCUCCGGUGUCCGCGUUGUAAUUUUGUGAGGCAUCUCCGGGUGGGGCGCCGGCCUAAGUUCCUUGGAACAGGACGUCAUAGAGGGUGAGAAUCCCGUGCUUGGCUGGCUGUCCCCGUCCAUGUGAGGUGUCUUCGACGAGUCGAGUUGUUUGGGAAUGCAGCUCAAAAUGGGUGGUAAAUUUCAUCUAAAGCUAAAUAUUGGUGGGAGACCGAUAGCGCACAAGUAGAGUGAUCGAAAGAUGAAAAGCACUUUGAAAAUAGAGUUAAAAAGUACGUGAAAUUGUUGAAAGGGAAGCGCUUGAGACCAGACUUCGGUGGGGAGUGAUCAGCCGUCCUUCUGGGCGGUGCACUUGCCCCCCUCCGGGCCAGCAUCGGUUGGGACGGCGGGAUAAAGGUCCCGGGAAUGUGGCUCCUCUCGGGGAGUGUUAUAGCCCGGGUGAAUGCCGCCAGCCCCGACCGAGGACCGCGCCUUCGGGCUAGGAUGCUUG
rnacentral:rRNA from 1 species